GCAGUAGCUGCAGGGGACAGCGGGCACAGCCUGUCAGGUUGUAAACCUGGGUCCUGGAUGGCAACACUCAUCCUUUGGUCACACAGUUGAAUCUCUCUGUGUGAGGGUGUUAGGGCUUGCUUGCUUGCUUGCUUUGGUUUUGGAGUUUUGCCCAGGGACUACUAGGACAAUUUCAUCAGAGAUAGAGAGAAAAAUGCUCUUAACAGGUCUUCAGCUUUCCCAAGAGGAGGACAAUGGUGGGCGGAAGGACAAAGCUGAAGUGCUGAAGUUGAAGGUUCCAGAAGUUGAACUCAGUCCUGACCGCCACUGAACUCUCCCCAGCCCAGGACUGACCUGCUCCACCUUCUUUCUCCCAGACUCCUGUCUGGGUGUGGAGGACUGGGAGGUGUGCAGCGUGGGACUUACUUCUCAAUGGUCCAACUGAGAUGAGCGUGGACUGCAAGUAACCGAGGCAGAAAGGUGGUCACUCACUCCAUGAGGAGCCACGGUCCGCCCUGCUGUGCUGGGGUACUAAGUGGGACAAGCUCCCACACCUGAUCCUGACACAGUGCCUCUCAGUGCAUGACUCAUCACCCCAAGUUGAAGCACUGUCCCCAGGGAACACCUGACCCUUCCCUUCCCCUCAAAAGUGCACAGACAUGCACAUUGUAACUUUGUGUAAACACUGCAUCCCUUCUCCUUUUUUUUUUUGAGACAGGGUUUCUCUGUGUAGCCCUGGCUGUCCUGGAACUCACUCUGUAGACCAGGCUGGCCUCGAACUCAGAGAUCUGCCUGCCUCUGCCUCCCAAGUGCUGGGAUUAAAAGUGUAGGCCACCACACCCGGCCUGUAUCCCUUCUCCUUGAUGAGUAAUAUGUGAUUGACAUACAGGUCAUAUAUUCUGUUUGUCUGAGUUUUCCCCACCUUUUCCCACUGUUAAUAAUACAGCUGCCAAUAAUGCAUGCACAGGUUUUUGCUUGUAGGCAUGUCAUUUUCAAGACUCUGGAAGCAUCCAGAACAGAGGUACUUGACCUGAGGGUUGUGGCCUCCCUAGCAAACUUGUCUCCACAACUAUUUACAUUAUAAUUCUUUUUUAAAAAAUUAACCAAUCAGAUUUAUGUAUCAAUAAUAUCAUAAUUUACAAGAUGCCAACAUAAUAAUUUCAGAGCCAAUUGAUAAUGAUAAAAGCUUUACCCCAAUAUUUCUAACCUUGUGAAAUCAUAGCUACUUGUGGAUGGAAAAUGCCAUGCAGGUACAGGUGAGCAGCCAUCUUCCUUCUCCUCACAUUACAGUUCUUAACAGUAAGAAAAUUAUAGUCUAUGAAGUACAAAUAGAUUUUUUUUUUGUUUUUGUUUUUCGAGACAAGGUUUCUCUGUGAAGCCCAGGCUGUUCUGGAACUUUCUCUGUAGACCAGGCUAGCCUCAGUCUCACAGACCCACCUGCCCUUACCUCCUGGGUGCUGGGAUCAAAGACAUACACCACCACUGCCUGGCAAUGAAAAUAAUUUUAUGGCUGAGGGUCACCACAGAAUUUGGAAUUGUACUGAAGGUUCGUGACAUUAGGAAGGUUGAGAACCUCUGUUCUUAGAAGUAUUAUCUUCUCUACUUGUCCACAGAUGAUUCUAGAGAUAACCAGUAAGAAACAGCACUUCCGCUGAGGAUUCUCAGGAAACUUCCGCAGAGGGUUCUAAGGAAUGGCAGUGGGCAACAGUGACCCCAGCAACCAGAUAAUAUCACUGUAAUUUUGCUUCCAAACUAGGGCCUAUCUAGUGUGGUGGGACCUGCUCCCAUGACUUAGCACAGGACUCAAUGUUAGGCAACACAGAUCUGCACAUACCAG